UAGAGUUUGAUCAUGGCUCAGAUUGAACGCUGGCGGCAGGCCUAACACAUGCAAGUCGAGCGGAAACGACACUAACAAUCCUUCGGGUGCGUUAAUGGGCGUCGAGCGGCGGACGGGUGAGUAAUGCCUAGGAAAUUGCCUUGAUGUGGGGGAUAACCAUUGGAAACGAUGGCUAAUACCGCAUAAUGCCUACGGGCCAAAGAGGGGGAUCUUCGGACCUCUCGCGUCAAGAUAUGCCUAGGUGGGAUUAGCUAGUUGGUGAGGUAAUGGCUCACCAAGGCGACGAUCCCUAGCUGGUCUGAGAGGAUGAUCAGCCACACUGGAACUGAGACACGGUCCAGACUCCUACGGGAGGCAGCAGUGGGGAAUAUUGCACAAUGGGCGAAAGCCUGAUGCAGCCAUGCCGCGUGUAUGAAGAAGGCCUUCGGGUUGUAAAGUACUUUCAGUUGUGAGGAAGGGGGUAACGUUAAUAGCGUUAUCUCUUGACGUUAGCAACAGAAGAAGCACCGGCUAACUCCGUGCCAGCAGCCGCGGUAAUACGGAGGGUGCGAGCGUUAAUCGGAAUUACUGGGCGUAAAGCGCAUGCAGGUGGUUCAUUAAGUCAGAUGUGAAAGCCCGGGGCUCAACCUCGGAACUGCAUUUGAAACUGGUGAACUAGAGUGCUGUAGAGGGGGGUAGAAUUUCA
rnacentral:rRNA from 1 species